AAACCAAAAACUAGCCACUUGUCAUUUUCUAAUUAGUUCUUAGUGUGUUAAAAUUUUUUAAGAACCGAUUAGAAAAUGACAAGUGGCUAGUUUUGAAUUU
rnacentral:pre_miRNA from 1 species